UUUUUUUUUUUUUUUUUUUUGUCGCAACGAUAGAUGUUCUAUAACCUAAUCUAGUCUAGUCUAAGGGGAAGGGGAGGGGGUUCGAUGUGAGUACAGACUCCAUCGAUGAAGGUCAAUUAAGACCGCCACAAAUUGUGGCAAAUUUGUGGGAGGCAGGGAUUGAACCCCUGACCUCCAGCAUCACCUUUAAUGGUGAUAACCACUGGACCAAAUGGCCAGUGGCAAUAAUUAUGCUACUCAAAACUUGGAAUUUUGUAAGGCAAAAAAAAAGUUAUUUCAUUUAUUCAAUACCUGAGGUAAAAAAUGUUAUUCAAAAUUUUUGCAAAAAGAUCUAUGUUGCUCAAGGGGAAAACAAUAUUUCAACUCAUACCAUGCUUUCUGGAAUUACUCAUAUUAAUUACAUCUGAAUUAACAUGAGCAAAGCCAGGGUCAAGUUUAUUUAUAAGAUACUUUCAUAUAGAGAUUCAUCCUUAAAGUAAUUAAUCGUGUGUCUAUUGCAAUAUUAUUGUGUUAGAUAUAGCUCCCUCACGUGCCUAAAAUUGCUGAGCGUGCAAAGUUUAAAAAAAAGGGGGGGGGGGGGUUAUCGGUUAGACGUCUUCAUUAAAAACUUGGUAUGCAACUGAAUAUUGUCAUUUGCCAAUGAGGCCUUGGUUUAAUUUUAUGACAUUAAUCAAGGUUGAGUUUCAAGAAUUAGACGUCUUUGAGUUCAUGUCUAUUUAAUUGUGAGUUUAUUUUACUAGAUCUUAGUGUUUAUCUAGAAAUUUUAACUACAAUGUUGUUUAAAUAUAAUCCGAAUAAUAUAUUAAAAAGUAAAUAAUCAUGUUCAAGAAAACGGUAUGAAUGUUGAAUCAAACGCUUCCAUAUCCAUUAGAUUCUUUAUAAAAAUAAUUACUUGUGUCUGAUUUGAUCGUCUUGUGCGCAGUCGAGAAAGUUAAUUUGUAUGUUAUCGCUGUUUUAGUAUUCAGCUUCAUCCAAAAAAAAGUAAUCAGCUCAACAAAUUUUUACUUAGUCCCGAUAUGAGAUAACCAAAAUAUUUUACAUGAAUGAUACAUCUAUUUGAGCAUGCACAGGUAAAUCAUAUUGCUUGCUCAUACAUACAGAUAUCAGUAGGGACUCGAAGGAACUUUCUUACUCAAAAAACAUAUUCGAAGAUUUGAAGGCAUGCAGUAAUUAUACCUCCUCACUUGGUCCCUUUCUCCUUUUGUUCCCUACUCUCAAGGAUCUCCUCAAUCCCCCUCUCAGCCCAUUUUUGUUUCCUUCUGUUAUUGUAUGGAGAAGACAAUUCAGACUGUUUAAACAAAAAUAAUUUAACCUUAUAGAUAACUAUAUGGAAAAGAUUCAGAUAUCUUGGAAGCAGAAAUUGUGCAGAAAUAAUCUAUCCAUUGUGGCAGGAACACAAAAAGAUAUGCUAAGUAGUAUAAACUCACUCAUUUGAAGGCAGGCUCCACAGCACCGCUAAAUUGGAAGUCAAACUAUUUCAUAAAUGAUAAUACAGCAGGUGUAUCUACAAGAGUUAGACCGAACCAAAAGACCAUAAAGCCAACUCUAUUUCUUUUGGCUAAUUACUCCAUCGAGGGUAAAAGUGAAAUCCAAGGGUAGCAUGGUCAGGAAAAAAACAUCAACGUAUUGCAGCCAGAAAUACGUGCAACCCAUUAGGGGACGAAAUGACCAAACAAUCCACACACUAAUGGUGUUGAUAGGGGACGAAAGUACUGUUCCUAACUCCAUUCCCUCUUUUAUUCUCUUAGGAUUUGUAAGAAUUGUAGCUACCAGAUGAUGACCCGUAUUCACUUAUAUCUGUCUCUUGUAAGCCAUAAUAAAUAUAUAUAUAUAUAUAUGUCUAAUUUCAAGAAGGUCCCUUGUCUUCAUUUUCAUUUCCGUUCGUUCUUCUUUCAUUAUUAUUAUUAUUAUUUAAGUUUUAUUUUUUAAUCAUAAUCUAGUCCUUAACAUUAACAAAUCUAUCAAAGCCCCUACAUUCUAUUUGUUGUUUAUCACCAAAAAUCCCGAAUAUAGCAAUCCAAGCAGUCACACAAGACUCCGCUCAGCACACAUAAUUGUAUAAAUAAAUAGAUACAUAAAAAUCAACAAAUUAUAUGUCAUCUGUGAGAUUUACAAACAAAAGUCAUGUGCUUACAUUGUGUACAAAGUGAUUUAUAUUACUUUUUUUUUUUUAUAAUAGUGAUUUAUAUUACUAAAUGAAUGACUUAUACUUUGUUCAAAUAAACAUAACUAACACGACACGGUAGUAUGAACAAUAGUCCCUACCUUCUGCUGUGUUCUCUUUGGGAUUUGGAAAGUCAUCCAAAUUCUGACGUUGGUGGGCAUUUUCGGUUUCAUCACCAUUCAUUAGACAUCUCUUCCAAAUAGCCUGUAGCUUUGGAUUCUAUGGCAAUGUCAAAUCAAACAAUUUAAUUAAAUUUAUUUAUAUCCGUCCACGAAUAGAUGGAUAUGGGUAUUUUUAAUUUUUGUAUAUGGGUAUAAAUGGGUAAUAAAUUGGUAUUAUUGGGUAAUCCAUCAAAUCCAAUUAACCCAUUUAGAAUUAUCUUCCCCCAAACCUCCUCUCUUCCCCAACCCUUUUUUUUUUCAGAUUUUUCAUUUUGUUAUGAUGUUAACUACUUUUGUUUCAUUAUUAUUAUUAUUAUUAUUUGUUAGUUUUAUCUUAUCAUUUUAUUUUCUCUUAAUUUAUUAACUUGCUUAUUUUUCAGCAUUAUCAAUUUACGAUAAGUUUUAGCUUCUUUUCCUACCUUUCCAAAAUGAAAAUUUAAAUUUACACAUGAAAAAAAUGUUAGGGGUUCAAAUUUUUUGGAUUAAGUUUUUAUGUUAACUUUUAUAAUAAUUAGUUCAAAAUUUUAUAUUCUUAUUAUUUAAUUAUUAAAUAGUAUGUAAUUUUGCGACAUAGAGUACCGAUGGAAAAAAAAUUGAUAAUUAGGCUUAUUGAACAUUAUAAGUAAAUAUUAAAAACUAAUGAUGGGUGCAAAGGGUGGUAUAAAUUAAUAACUUAAUUUGCAAAAAUGAAUUUAAAUGAGUUUACAAAAAAUUAAAAUAACUGGGUUAUAAAUGGGUAAUUGGGUUAUCCAAUUUAUUUUUUACUUAUCCAUUUAUUCUAAUCUAAUUAAAUGGGUAUAAACAAAUUGACUCAUUUAUAUUCAUUAUCCAUUUUAACUAACCCAAAUCCGUCCAAAUCACUCAUUUUGAUAUCUCUAGCAACAAUGACAGACUAUGAAUUUCAGGAUAUUGAGUUUGCACUACAGGGAGGGGAGAAAAGGACCACUGGGGCUUGAGUGGACUUACUAUUUGGCUCAUUGAAGCUUUGUUAAGGAUUUCGGGCGAAAGUAGAACAAAAUUAGCAUGUUUGUGAUUUUUACCCGUUGAAAAUUUUCGAGACCUUGGUGACUCCCGGCCUACGAAGGUUUGUUGAAAGUUUUGUAAUUUUGCCCCGUUUGGGACUUUUGUGAAUUUGGCCCAUUCAGGGCCUUGCAAUUUUGGCCUAUUGGAACCUAUUGGGCCAUUUGUGAUGGUUUCUACUUUGUUUGUUUUUUGUGAUUUGAGAUAAAGUUGAGAGGAUAGAAUUGACUUUUACACAGAAUAUGAAAUAAGUAUACUCGCUAUUAAUAUUGAAUACACGUUAAGAUGAAGAUUUAUUGAGUUUUUCUUUAUAUUCCACAUCGAAAGUUUUACAAACAAAUCAAGUUAAUAUGGAUGUAUGUCAAUUUUACCAAAUCAAGUUAAUAUGGUGUCUCAAUAUUUGUUUAAUUUUGAUUUGUUAUUGUUUUUCGGGUUGUCAACAACCCUUUCAUCAAUUUCCUGAGACCAAGCUUAACACUCAAUUUCAGCCUCUAAAAACACUAAAAUAGAAAUUAAGAAACUCAUGCGAGAACAUUAUUAUUAUAACACACCACAAUGACUCUAAGUCAAGUUUCACAGUUUAAUUCUUCUCAUUCAACUGUUGCAUGAAAACAUGAAGUUAUUGACCGCGAUCAACCCUUAAUAAUUAAUCAUAAGGACAAUCUCUUUUAGUGUUUAGAGCUAAGGACUUCGGUGUUUGUGUUGCCUGGUGUAAACUUAAAAUGGUUCCUCAUUUUUCUAUCAGGCAAGAAAUUAGUUGUAAAAUUGCCAGGAUAUAACAAUCUAUUUGAUCCAAAUAUAUUUGUUUUGUUUAGUUUGACUAAGUUGUCCAUUUAGUUGCCUAAAAAGAGUUAACCAUUUAGUUUACCAAUUGAGAAGCCAAGUGUCAAAAGCUAAGACAAUAUAAAUGAAAUGAAAGACAAUACUUAAGUUUUUCUGAUGCAGCUAUGUACAUGUACUGAAGAUUGAUGCCAAAACUAGUCAAAAAUGGAUGCAGCUGAAUCCUAAAACAGCGAUAACAUACAAACUUUCUCAACUACUCACAAGACGAUCAAAUUGAACACAAGUAAUGUUUUUUUAAAUAAAGAAUCUAAUGAAUAUGGACGCAUUUGAUCCAAUAUUCAUACCGUUUUCUUGAAAAUAUUGAUUUACUUUUCAAUAUGAUUACAUAUUAUCUAUAAGGGUAAAUUACCUUUUACUCCUCUGUGGUUUGGUGUUUUACCACAUGACUUCUCUAUACUUUAAAAAUCUAUUUAUAACCCCCUCAUGGUUUGAGUUAAUGUAUCACCGUUAGUUUUUCUGUUAAAAUCAAUAGUCAAUAGUUAAAAUUAAAGUCAAACUAAAAAAUUAACAAAUUGACCCUUUCAUUAAUUUUUUUUCAUCCAAACAUAAAAAAGAAGAAAUUGAAACAAAAAAAUAGAUAAAUAAGAAAUAGAAAAUACCAUUAAAGAUUGGGUUUAAAAACCUAUAAUGAUAUUUGUAGUAAAAAAGGUUUGGUAUUUUUGUUUCUUAUUUAUUUGUUUUAUAUUUUCCUUCCAUUUAUUUAUUUAUUUAUUUUUUAUUUCCCUUCCAUCUCCUUCGUAUUUGGAGAAAAUUAAGAUUUUAUAGGCCAAAAUAUGGGUUUUCAAAAUCAUCUCUUCUCUUUCGAAAAAAAAGAGAGAAAGAAAAGGAAAGGGAAAAGAGAAAAAACAAAGUAGUGAAAGGUAAAUUUGUUAAUUCAUUAGUUUGAUUUUGACUUUUUACUCUUGAUAACUAGCUUUAAUAGAAAGAUUAAUGGAGACAGUUUAACACAAACUAUGAGGGGGCGUAAUGGUUACCAAAUGUAAUGUGUAAGAUACUGAUAAUUCAAGCUAGGAAAACAGAAUGAGAAAGAAAUAGAGAGAAAGAGAUAAGAGAAGGAGAGCAAGGAAGAAUGAAUUUGAAAUGAGGUAGGGAAUUUGUAUUCUUCAAUGAUCAGAAUUUUCAUACCCGUUCAUUCUAACUAAUUUCCUGCAAGUUCCUGCUGUUAUAACAAUUCUAACAAUAUUGGCUAACAGAAUUUGGCCAGCUAUUUCGUCUUAUUUCCUGCGGAGUCAUUACAAUUGCCCCCUCUCGAAACAAUCCUAGUCUCUAGGAUUGAAGUCUGGGAAUUGACUCCUGAUGACAGCCAAGUCUUCUCGUGUUGCAUCUACAUCUUGUAAGUCCUUCCAUUGCACCAAGAUCUGCUCCACAUUGUGUCCACCUCUAUCAAUCCAUCUUCGAUCUAGUAUAGAGGAGGGAGUGAUAGAAAAGAAGCCUUCAUCAAUUGGCUGGGGUAAUGCCGUGCUAGCUGGAGCACCUUUUGUGGGUGGUUUCAAAAGUGAAACGUGAAAUACAGGGUGAAUUGCAGCCCCUGGUGGUAACUUGAGUUUAUAGGCUACAGUCCCAACCUUUUUUUCAAUUUGAUAUGGUCUAUAACUUGAGGUAAAGCCAAUCCCCUUCAGCAAAUGUCCUGUCAGUCCUUUGUUUGUUUGUAAAUUGUUUCAUGCAAUUCUGAGCAUGCAACAAAUUUUCCUUCAGCAAGGACUUCCAAUUUACCCUCUCAAUUAACCAGUCUUCUAUAGCAGCUACUUGGGUGUUGUCUGGUUGCAAGCACAACUGUUUUGGUUUAUAACCAUAGAGUUCUUGGAAGGGUGUCAUCUGUAAACUAGAAGGGAAAUUAGUGUUGUACCACCACUCAACUGCAGGCAAACACUUUCUCCAGUGACCAGAUUGUUGCAAACACCUAGCUCUCAAGUAGGUUUCUACACAUCGAUUUACUCUCUCAGUCUGCCCAUCAGACUGGGGGUGAUAUGAGGAUGAGAAACUAAGAGCAGUUCCCACCUGAUGAAAAAGCUCCUGCCAAAACAGACUUGUGAAAAUCUUGUCCCUAUCUGAUACAAUAUCUAUUGGCAAACCAUGCAGUUUAUAAAUCUGCUCAAAGAACACCAGUGCCACACUCUUUGCUGUGUAAUGAGACCCCAUGGAUAUGAAAUGCACGUACUUAGUAAGUCUGUCCACAACGACCAUUAUGACAUCAUGCCCCAAAGAUUUUGGCAAACCUUCGAUAAAAUCCAUCGAAAUAUGUUGCCAAGCUUGCUCUGGUAUUGUGAGAGAUUGUAGCAAUCUAGGGUAACUAGCUUGUUCACUUUUGCUCCUCUUGCAGAUGUCUCAAGCUUGUACAUAAGCUUCUACUUCCCUUUUCAUUCUUGGCCAAAAAAAAUAGCUCUUCAACCUUGCAUAGGUCCCCAGAUUGCUAGAGUGACCUCCUACUGCAGAAUCAUGCAUGCAGCUAAUAAGUUGCCUUCUAAGUUCAGUGGUAACUCCAAUGUAUACCCUUCCCUUGUACCUGACGAUCCCUUGAUGGUAGGAGUAAUCAGGUGAACUAGAGCUAUCUAUUGCGAGUGUUGUUAGUAAUUCUUUGAUCUUGUCAUCUCCAUUACAACUCUCUGAUACUUGGAAAGACAUAGAGGUUUGACUGCAGUUAUAGAGUGGACUCCAUUGUAACUCUCCUGAUCACUCUCCUCUGCAGGACCUCCUUGCCUCCUAGAAAAAGCAUCUGCUACUGUACUAUCCUUGCCUCCUUUGUAUUAGAUUUCGUAGUCUAAUCCCAUCAAUUUAGCAAGCCAUUUUUGUUGUAGGGAAAUAGUGAUCUUUUGUUCUAGCAAGUACUUCAGACUCUCAUGGUCUGAUGAUGAAAUGAGAUCCCAUUAAGUAAUGUCUCCAUUUUCCCACAGCAGUGAUCAGGGAUAGCAACUCCUUCUCGUAUAUGGACAGUGAUUGAUUUUUUUGCCCCAAAGCUUGGCUCAUAAAUGCUAUUGGUCUCCCCUGCUGCAUCAGUACUGCUCCCAUAGCUUUUUGGCUUGCAUCUGUCUCUAAUAUAAAGGGCAUGGAAAAGUUGGGUAAAGCCAAUACAGGGGCUUGUGUCAUAGCCACCUUGAGCUGCUCGAAGGCAGAAGUAGCUACUUCAUUCCAUACGAAACUGUCUUUUUUAAACAACUCAAUUAGGGGCUUUGCUAUUUUCCCAUAGCCUCUUACAACCUCCUGUAGUACCCUGUCAAUCCAAGAAAACCCCUAAGAGCCUUAAUGUUAUCAGGAACUGGCCAGGACAACAUUGCAUCUACCUUUGCAGGGUCAGCAGAAACACCUUCAGCAGUAACUACAUAUCCCAAAUACUCAAUUUUAUCUUGACCAAAGGAGCAUUUAGACAUCUUAGCAUAUAAUGAAUGGGUUCUCAAGGUGUUAAGGACAAGGGAGAGGUGUUUAAGAUGGCUGUCCAGAUCAGAGCUAUAAACAAGAAUAUCAUCAAAAAAUACAAGUACAAAUUUUCUGAUGAAAGGUUCAAAUAUGGAAUUCAUUAAGGCUUCAAAUGUGGUAGGGGCAUUUGUGAGGCCAAAAGGCAUCACAAGGUAUUCAUAAAGGCCAGAGUGAGUUCUAAAGGCUGUUUUAGGGACAUCAGAUGGGUUCAUAUGAAUUUGAUGAUAACCUGACCUUAGAUCUAUUUUAGAAAAUAUUUUUGCAUUAUGCAAUUCAUUAAGCAGGUCGUCAAUGAUAGGAAUGGGAAAUUUAUCUUUAAUGGUAAGGUUGUUGAGCUACCUAUAAUCAAUACACAACCUCCAGCUUCCAUCCUUUUUUUUGACUAAGAGAGCUGGGGAUGCAAAAGGGUUGUGACUAGGUUGUAUGAUACCAGAUUGCAACAGGUCUUUGACCUGUCUUUCUAUUUCUGACUUCUGCAUGUGAGGAUAUCUGUAGGGAUUGAUUUUGAAGGGUUUGGCAUCAGGUAUGAGUGGUAUUUGGUGGUCUAAUUCUCUGAUAGAGGGUAAGGAUGUAGGUUCCUUAAAGAUGUCAUGAUAUUGAUCAAGCAAUUGAGUAAGUGAUUUUGGUACAGGAGUUAUCUGACUGUUCUGUACUCUGAUCAUGCAAGAGUGUUGCAAGGAAGUCCUAACUUUAUUCCUAAUAUACAGCUAUGCAGCUGUCUGUUGCCUCAUCCUCACCUUGGCAGUGUGGGAAUCACCUUGCAGCAGCACAGUUUCACCCUCCUUGUCAAAAGACAAUGUCAGCUCCUUAAAAUCAAAAGUCAUUGGACUGUAAUGUUUCAUCCAGUCCACUCCAAGGAUUAAAUCAUAUGGCUCCAAGUCCAAAACAUAUACAUUUUGAGUGAAGAAGUGUCCCUGCGUUUCCUACUUCAUAUUUGGAAUCCACUGCUUGCAUGUUAACUCCUUUGCAUCCGCUAUCCUUACCUUGAAAGGCUUAUGACUCUGCACAGAAUCAGGAUAUAGUUGAGCAAUGGCUGAUCUAAUAAAAUAGUUGGUACUCCCCCAUCUAGUAGAAUGGAUAAAUCUUUCCCUUUGUAUUGUCCUGUCAUCCUAAUAGUAUUAGAAGAGAUGUGUCUCAAGACUGAGUGCUGUGAGAAGGCUACAUCCUUGCCAGACUUAUUCCCCUGAUACUCAAUGAUUUCCCCUUCUUCCUCAUCUAUUUCAGUAUCAUGCAUUCCUUCUUCAUCUGCUAGUACCAAAUGUACCCCUCUAUUCUUGCAGACAUGUCCAGGCAAAAAUUUUUCCCCAUACUUGAAGCACAGAUUGUGAUCCUUCCUGUACUGAAAUUCUGUGGGUGAGAUUUUCUUAUAACCCUGAGAAGUGUCAUUCUUAAUACUAUUCUCAAACACCUGAGUUGCAGGUUUCUUGUGGCUCAGGUCAUUAGGGUGGGUAUGUUUAAUUCCAGAAGAAUUUGGUGGAGUUACCUUCAUUGGCACUUUAUUCUGCUUUAAGAUGAUGCUCAGCUACUGUUCUUGCCACCUAGCUUUUUCAAAUGCAACCUGUUAGGUCUGGGGCAUAUGCAUUUUCAUAGCAGCUUUGAUCUCUUCCUUCAGUCCACUCAAGAAGCUGGAAACGUAGUAUGACUCAGAGAGGAGGGGUAGCUUUAUCAUGACAGCAGCUCUUAAUUCUUCAAACUUCUCCUGAUAUGUAAAAACUGUUGAAUCCUGGUACAAUUUGUUGAACUCUUCUACCACAUCUUCUCCCCCCAAAUCCCCAAAUCUUUGACAAAGUUCUGAGACAAAAUCCCUCUAUUGCACCACUGCUCUGUCUUUCUUGAAGCUUUGAUACCAGAGAUCAACUUUGCCUUCCAAAUGUAGUUCAGCCACAUCCAUCUGCUGUCCUUCUGGAAUCUGAUAUAGUUGAAAAAACUUCUCGCAUUUCCUGAUCCAUUCUCGGGGAUUAGAGCCUCCAAAGCUGAAAAAUUCCAGUUUCGGAACUGUGAGACCCCGAAAUUUUACUUGUCUUUAUAACCCUUAUGUGAACUCACUUACCUUUGAUUCUUGGUUUCUUUAAUGGUUGAAUUUGAGCCAAAAGAGUGAAUUUUGUUAAGAAAAGUUUCAUAUUCUCAAGUUGUUAGAAAAUCUAGAAAUUUUUGCCUGAGGCUCUGUGCAGCUUUGAAAAAUUGGCUACAAUUUCGUAUAGGAAAGUCGGAAUUGAAUUCUGUUUGUUGCAUUUGAAACUAAACUUAUAGGGCUUCCUACAGUAUAAAAUUUAGAAUUUGAUUCAAUCUCUAUAAAUUCCAGAAAAUUGGCAAAAUUGACCGAAAAUUCUGCCCUGCCCAAGUACCAAUAGGAAUGUUGUAGUAGCUUAUAACUCAAUUUGGAUCAACUUAUGAACUUAAUCUCUUUGAGGUGUCUUCUAAAGAUUAUUAGUAUUUGAAGUCUAGUUUUUAACAGGCUAAAUUGUAUGAAUUUUUGAUAUUUAUAACUCAAGUUAUGAUUUUUCUAAAAGAAUGACAUAAGUUAGGAUUUUUUGUGCAUACUAGGGUUUUUAGUGUGUCUUUGGUGUAUUUUGAUAGUGUGAUCACUUGGUGAGAUGUGUGUAUUAAAUUUGGUGGAUAAGAAUGAGUAUUAGGUAAGAAAAGUAUGUGAUUAGAAGUCUUAAUAAUAAGUUAGUGAAUCAUAAGUAAAAACACAAGUACGUGCGAGUUAAGGAAAAUAAGCUUGAACCGACGCGCACCGUUUGCUGCCGAUUGAGUGCACCACUUGAACACUACUUUAUUACCUUAAUCUGCUUGUUAUUAAUUGAGCAAAAUCAGCCCCAAAAUAUCCUCAAUCCAGCCUAAAUUUUGGACCAAGAAAAAGAGAGAAAAGAAAGAAAAAUGAGAAUUAUUCUUGUGGUGACACUUGUCGGAAGCAUAGGAAAUUUUGACCAAGCAUUUUUCUUUCCUUCUUACCUUCACCUUGGCUCCAUUUUCUUCCAUUUUUGUUCCAUCUUGGCUGAACUUAGGAGAGGAAAAACAAGAGAGAAACUUUCAACUCCAAUCUUAGAUUUUGCCUUGUUUGAUUGAAAUCCCCAAAACUAAACCGGUUAAACUUAUCUUUUGGUGUUUGGCAAGUUUUGUGUGGUAAAAGUUUUGGAAGAAGGGGUUGGUUUUCACCUACAAGCAGCUUUUGUAAGGUAUAAUGGUUUCUUUUCCUUUUCUUGUACUUAGUCAUGUUAAAAUUGGGAAAUAAGUUUAUGUUAUUGGUUUCCUAUGGUUAAUUAGUUAGUUUUGAAUGAUAUGGUGGAAUGUUUAGCUAGGGUUUGAAAAUUUCAAUUGUGAUUAUUGUUGUUUAUCUAGUAUAUGAUGUUGAUGAACUUGGAUAGGGACUUGGGGUAGUAAUUCAAGACAUGAAUGUUAGUGUUAAGCAUUGAAACAUCAAAUUCCAGCAAUUGUAGUAGAAUCUGCCCUGUUUCUGUACUUUAUAUUCGUCCAUGAUAAAGGCCGAAUCAGGUAUUGCUCAAAACAUGAAAGUUGUAGGGAAUGGAGUUAACUAUCUUUAUUUAAAAUUUCAGCUCAAUCGGAGCAGUGUAGAGUAUGAAACGACUAAAAUACCCCUGACUACCAAAAGCCUAUUUCGCGAGCAGUUUUCUGUUUUCUCUGAGAUUUCACAUUUUGACCUUGAAAAUGCAUGAACUGGGUAUUGAUGUCUUCAUAAGAAAUGUAGCUCUCUGUCUUAGUUUCGAAACGCCAUAAAAUGUAACCCAAUCCGAUAAGCGUAGAAUCAGCUGUGACUAAAACGCCGGAAGAUGUCAAACCUGUUAUUUAGUUAUUCUUCUUUAAUACUAGUUCCAACUUUGAUUUUGAUAGUUGCAUUGCUAGAAUUGCCUUGUAUUGGGAUGACAUUGAGCCUAUUAAAGGGCUAUUAUGUUAAGAUUGUUUAUGUAUGAAUUUGGACUGAGUUGAGGAAAAUAAUGAAGUCAUAAAUGGCUGAAAAAUAGCUAAAUACAAAGGGCAUGCUACCCAAAUUUUCACUCACGGGUUAGGCGUGUGUACUCGCGACUUGAGCGAAAAUUUGAGGUCGAAUUGAACUUGGAUUGUCUAUGGUAUUCGAGCCUUCUUUCGUAAAGGUAUAUAAGCUGAAAUUUGGCCGAAACUCGUACCCUUGGAAAAAUGAAAGUAGCGACCAUUCAGAAUAUAUUUUCCUCGUCUUUUAGCCUCUUUACGAACUUAAACGUUGUAACCGCUUCCUUACCGAAACUAAAAGAGCAAGCAUGAGUUUUCUACGGUGUGAUAAGCAAAAUGAAUACUACUUAAAUGAGUUUCAUUUAUUUGAUUUUCUUGAAGCGAAACUCCUAUGUUUCGAACUCUAGAGAGUUUUACAUUCUUAAAUGAUAUUUUAUCACAGAUUUGGACUCCAACCAAGGAGUUGGACCUAAACAUGAUUUUGAAAAGCACUAGACCUUUGGUGAGUGCUUCCAAGUAUAUGAUUGAACGUGAUACUUGAUUUAAAUACUUGAUAUCUGAGAAGUUUGGUCGGGCAAGAGUGUACUUUAUCGCACUUGCCCUAAUGUGAUGUGUACUUAUUUAUUGUUACAAUUGACUUGAUAUACUUGUACUUGACUUGUAAGUGCUGAGCGGCAGCAUGAUACCACACUCAAUCCGAGUGGGAGAUGCCUCUCAUUUCCGUCUCCGUACUUUUAUCUUGAUUCAGUCGAUUGGAGAUGUUAUCUCAUCGACUUUUUGGGAACCCAAACCCCACUGGCUAGUUAAUCGAGUCGAGCCGACAAGGGUUUGGUCGAUUAGAUAACGAACCAUGUGUAUCUAGUGUUGUUGAGUGGAGUGUUAUCUCCUCGACUAAUCGGUAUGCUCGAGUAUUACCACCCGUGUUUAUUGAGGAUUUUGGGCCCAAUAGGGGGUUUGGAUGGUGGACAGAGAUUGUAGCUAAGUGGUGAUCUACUGGACUGGUUACUUUACUUAAAAGUUGAAGAGUGUCAACUACUACUUGAUCAAGCUCUGACGAAGCAACGGGAACUUGGCUCUUGAGAGCCAUCCGUAUCCUUAUACUUUGACAUGAGUAUUACUUAUCGGGUUAUUGCUUUUUUUGAAAAACUUUACACUCGCUCAUUUUGAGAUUUGCUACUUGAAGUGUUAUUGCUCAUUUUUUGAACUUGUUAUGCUCGCUAUUUUAUUACGUUGAUACUUGUACUUUUAAAUAAUGGUCAACUUGCUAUUUGGAAUCUCACUGGGCUUUUAACUUAUUUCACGCCAUUUGUUUUCCUUAUAGGGGGUACGAGCGAGGCGUGAGACUGGUACAGGCUAGCAUAAUCAAGUUUUAAAAAUUUUGCGAUUGUACUCGCACUAGUCGCUCAAUUAGGGUUGAAUGUAUUGAGAACUUAAAUCUUUUAAUAUAUUUGGGAUUGUAUGGAUGUUUGAGAUCGAAAUGAAUGUAUUUGUACGUUCCAAAUUUGGGAACUGUUAUUUCUUGUAUUUUCGAGGUUGCAACCUAUUUUUUCGAAGUGAGUGAGUGAGUCCUAACGAGAGUUGGGCAGACAGCCCGCUAAACUCUGGGGUAAGCUCUAGGGGGAGGUGAGGUCGUCACAGGAACUCCCACUGGAAAACGACUCUUUUCCCCUAGAAAAGGAUGGCUUCCUUCGGGACUUUUCCUAAGUAUUUGAUUAGGAGGUCGCUCAGAAGAGUUAGGAGAAUUUCCUAGAAUUCCCCUUUCCCCUUGUAGGUUUCUCAUGAAGGUAUUGAACUGAGCAUUCAUCGUGACCAUGAAAUUCUUCAUUUCUUCCUUUAAUUCAACACUGUUUGCUUCUACCAGAGCUUUCAUGUCCACGUAGUUAGACUCCAUCUUUUCUUCCAAGGCUUGACGUUCGACUGUACUAGAUUCAAGAAUAGUUUGGAUCCUUGCAUCUUAUUUCUUCAGCAUUUCCUCAAAUCCCUUCAUUCAAGUGCCUUCCGCCAUUGUUGCUCAGAUUGGAGCUUGCAAAUCCGAGGACCGCAAGCUCUGAUACCAAAUGUAAUGGGUAAGAUACUGAUAAUUCAAGUUAGGAAAAUAGAAUGAGAAAGAAAUAGAGAGAAAGAGAUAAGAGAAGGAGAGCAAGGAAGAAUGAAUUUAAAAUGAGGCAGGGAAGUUGUAUUCUUCAAUGAUCAGAAUUUCCAUACCUGUUCAUUACAUCAGUUUGGCCUAUUAAUAGAAGUUCCCUCUAAUUAACCGACUCUAACUAAUUUUCUGCAAGUUGCCGCUGUUACAACAAUUCUAACAAUAUAAAAAAACAGAAUUUGGCCAGCUAUUUUGUCUUAUUUCCUGCGGAGUCAUUACAGGGGAUUAUAUAUAGAUUUUUAAACCAUAUACGGGUUAUGUGAUAAAGCACCAAACCACAGCGGGGUAAAUGGCAAUUUACCCUAUCUAUAGAGUAUUAUCAAUACAAUCUGGAUUAAACCUAAACAACAUUAUAGCUAAAAUUUCUUGAUAAACACUGAGAUCUAGUUAAAUAAACUCACAAUUAAAUAGACAUUAACUCAAGUUGUCUAAUUCAUAGAGUUCAACAUUGAUUGUUAUAAAACUAAACCAAGGCCUCAUUGACGAAUGACAAUAUUCAGUUGAGUAAUCAUAUACAGAUGAUUUUUUUCUACUAUUGGAGGCUCGUGUCAUUGAAGCUGAGAUUAAAAGGGUGUUCUUUAAGAUGAAGAGAGGUGUUACUCCCUGAACCUGGUAGUUUUACUGUUGAUUUUUUCAUUCUAAAUUGGGAGACAGUUGGAUUGGAGAUUGUGAAGGCUAUGCUAUCUUGUUUUUCCCUGAAUCCUUUAUAUGGUCCAUUGAACUCUACUAUCUUCUCUUGUUCCUAAGAUUGCUAGCUAUGCCUGUGACUAUGAAAGACAUUGUCCAAUUGCUUGCUAAUCUAUAUCAAAUUGAGUAAUUUAUUACCCUACACUAUUAAUUCAUAACGCACUAUUCAAUUUUUUUUCUUUGUAAUAGGAAAGUGAUGGGAUUUAAGAAGUAGAAAGAGAGGAAGAGAGAUUUAAAUCCAAAACCUCUAUUCUUGAAGUUUCAACCUUAACCACAAGGCUAAGGUCUUGGUAUUGAGUUUUAGGGAUACUUUGCAGCGGAAAAAGAAAAAUUUUUUCCCUAAAACCAUCCAGGAAUCACCCUAGAUUUUACGUAUGAUGUACUAAAAGUAGGGUUUUAGGAUUACCUUAAUCCAAGCGGCGUCUCCCUGCAGCGUUGUUUGAGGAUGGUCAGCCCUUGAGCAGUCCAAUCGUCCUGCCUCUACUGAUAUCCACGCUAGAGCAACCAUAGAUCGUCUCACGAACUAUGUAUUGAAGAGAAAAAGGUGCUAGCCUUUUUACUCUUCUCAAACAUAUAUUUUUUCUCUCUCUCUCUCGUCUGUGACAAUCACAAAAAACUUGUUCUAGUAUCUGUAUCUCAACCCCCAAUAUCAAUUGGAGAGAGAGAGAUAUAUGAUAAGAUAGAAUGAUGAGUCUUCUUGUCUGAUUCAAAAUCAAAACAAUAAGACUUCUUAUCACACAAGACUCUAUCUAUCAUUAUCUGAUAGAUGAGAGAUAACCAUUUACUCUUAUCUGCUCAAAUAGGCCUGGGAUUAAUUUUCUUUUAAAAUUAAACACCGACAAUUUACAUAGUUCCAAUCCAGAAUUAAAUCUCUAUUGCGUGUGACCCAAUAGGUCUCGAAUGCAUUGGUAAUAAUUAUGGUUUAAUAAUUAGAUAAAAUAAACGACUUUAUUUUAUCAUAACUUAUAAUAAAUAAUUAAUCCAUAAUUAUAAAUCACGAGCGGUGUCUAGCAAUAUAUCCCGAUUGCCCAAUUAUUCGGAAUUAGUCAAGGGAAUUUGACCUAACCUUUUCGUGAAAAAUUACCGUGUAAUUAUUAUUCUUUCAUCAAAGAUAUCCAAUUAGUCAGGAAUAAGGAAUAAGUGCCAAUUCCUUGAUGACUAAUUAAAUUUUCUAGUUCCCGAAAUUUACCCUUAAUUAGGUUAAAUUGAAGACAUUUUUCAAUUUACCUAAUAGUCGAUUUUAGGGUUAAUUUCUCACUAGUGGCCAUCCGGAUAUCAACUCCUUCUAUCGGAGUGGUAAAUCCUAUCUCAAUCACCCAUUUUCUUUACAUGCUUCACACUACAUCCAACUUCUACACUUUAAGGCACUCACGAAGAGUAACAAGUAAUUAGAGUCAAAAUGUAGCGAUUCACACUCAAGAUAUUAUGGUGAUCUCAAGUCGUAGGAUCACUUACACAAUUUUUCACUAGAGAUACACCAUUGGCACUAGAUAAAUAUCCUAACGGGAUCUCUAAAUGGAUCAAUCCAAUGCAUUUGUACUUUCCAAAUCAUCUACACAUUAGCCUAGGUAUCAUCAUAUCAUAGUUGAUGAGAACAACCACUAAUUACAUUAAUUAGAGGCUAACUGUGUACUAGUUUUACCGUACUAAAGAUGUCAUAUUUCAUUAGUACUAUAACUAGGGAAUUUUAAGAAUAUUACUAUAAAAGCGAUUGAUAUCUCAUAGUCAUCAACUCUUGUGACUACCAUCACAUUAGUAAACAUUCUAAGAACUUUAUCAGUUAUAUCUAAUAUUUAACAGAUAAAUAAGAAGUUAUUAAAAUACAAAACAUAUAAUUUAGGAAUGUAUAAAAUAAAAACAAAUACAUUGUUUUAGGGCAUACAUUCCAACAAUCUCCCACUUGCACUAAAACACAUUAUCCAUGUUUUUCAUCCCAUAAGAUAAUACAUGACUAUCAUGCUUCUUUUGAGAAAGAACUUUAGUAAGAGGAUCAGCUAUGUUAUCCUCUGUGGAGACUCUCUAUCUUUACAUCAUUCCUAACAACGAUUCUCUAAUCAAGCGAAAUCUCCUCAGCACAUGUUUGGAUCGCUGAUGAGACCUAGGUUCCUUGGCUUGAGCUAUAGCUCCAUUGUUAUCACAGUACAAAGUGACCGGAUCAACAAUGGUUGGAACCACACCAAGUUCAGUUACGAACUUCUUGAUCCAAACUGCUUCCUUAGCUGCUUCCGCGGCCGCAAUGUACUCAGCCUCUGUUGUAGAAUCUGCUGUGGUGUCUUAUUUGGAACUCUUCCAACAGACGGCACCUCCAUUAAGAGUAAAAAUGAAACCUGACUGUGAUUUACAAUCAUCCUUAUCUGAUUGAAAACUUGCAUCAGUAUAGCCUUUGAGUUCUAACUCACCCUUUCCAUAAAUUAAGAACAAAUCUUUGUUCCUUCUUAAGUACUUAAGAAUGUUCUUAACGGCUAUCCAAUGACCCUCACCUGGAUUAGCCUGAAUCUGCUUGUGACACUCAGAGCAUAGGAGACAUCAGGUCUUGUACAUAAUAUAGCAUACAUAAUUGAUCCAAUUGCCGAAGCAUAUGGAACAUUGUGCAUUUUAUCAGUCUCAACUUGUGUCUUUGGACACAUGUUUUUAGAAAGGCUUAUACCAUGAGUCAUAGGUAAAUUACCUCUCUUAGACUGAUCCAUGCUAAUCUCUUUAGCACUUUAUCAAUGUAUGUAGAUUGUGAAAGACCUAGUAACCUAUUGGAUCUAUCCCUAUAGAUCUUAAUGCCUAAUAUAUAGGCUGCUUCUCCUAAAUCUUUCAUGGAAAAGUUCUUCGACAACCAACCCUUUACCAAUUGUAACAUCGGUAUAUUGUUUCCCAUUAUUAAUAUGUCAUCUACAUAUAAAAUAAGGAAAACAAUCGAACUCCCACUAACUUUCUUAUACACACAAGGUUCAUCCGGAAUCUUGAGAAAUCCAAACUCUUUGAUCGUCUCAUCGAAUCGGAUGUUCCAACUCCUAGAUGCUUGCUUAAAUCCAUAAAUAGACUUUUGUAGCUUACAUAUUUGACUAGAAUUUGUAGAUGUAAAGCCUUCAGGUUGUGUCAUAUACACAUCCUCAUGCAAUGUCCCGUUAAGGAACGCGGUCUUUACAUCCAUCUGCCAAAUCUCAUAGUCAUGAUAUGCUGCUAUGGCAAGCAAUAUCCGAAUGGAUUUAAGCAUAGCUACUGGUGAGAAAGUUUCAUCGUAAUCGAUUCCCUCUUUCUGCUUGUAACCUUUGGCUACCAGUCUAGCUUUAUAGGUAACGACAUUACCAUCCAUGUCAGUCUUCUUCUUGAAGAUCCAUUUACACCCUACAGGUUUUAUCCCUUCAGGUGGAUCAACUAAGGUCCACACCUUAUUGUCAUACAUGGAAUUUAUUUCGAAAUUCAUGGCUUCUAACCAUUUAGAGGAGUCUGGAUUAUUUGUUGCCUCUUGGUAGGUAGUAGGUUCGUCAUCUUGAAUGACUAGAACAUCAUUGCUAUGGCUCACAAGAAAUUGGUAUCUCUUGGGAGUUGAGCGUGUUCUUACUGACCUACGAAACCCUUGUGUAUCAACAGCUAUAGUAUCUGCCCCAUCAUUAUGUGGUUGAAGCUGUUCUUCAUUAGAUCGUUCAAUGUUUGUUGGAUGAUCCUGAAUUUCUUCAAGAUCUAUUCUACUCCCACUGUUUCUUUCUAGAAUGUAUUCUUUCUCUAGAAAAAUAGCAUGUUUUGAGACAAACACCUUUUGCUCAAUUGGAUUGUAGAAAUAGUAUCCUAUAGACUCUCUUGGAUACCCUACAAACAAACAUUUGUCAGAUCUAGCUUUAAGCUUGUCUGACUCUGCCCUCUUCACAUAAGUUGGGCAACCCCAAACCUUCAUAUAAGACAGAUUUGAUUUCUUUCCUUUCCAUAUCUCAUAUGGUGUGGAGUCGACAACUUUAGUGGGUACUCUAUUAAGAGUAUAAGAGGCUGCAUCUAAUGCAAAUCCCCAAAACGAUUUUGGGGCACUUGAGUGGCUUAUCAUAGAAUGAACCAUAUCCAAUAAGGUUCGGUUUCUCCUUUCAGAUACACCAUUUAACUGUGGUGUAUCUGGAGGAGUCCAUUGUGGAACUAUUCCAUUAUCCUUUAAAUAAACUCCAAACUCGUCAUUUAAGUAUUCUCCACCACGAUCAGAUCGUAGUGUCUUAAUACUUUUAUUGGUUUGUUUUUCUACUUCAUUCUUGAAUUUCUUAAACUUUUCAAAGGAUUGAUAUUUGUAUUUCAUUAAAUACACGUAACUAUAUCUCGAAUGGUCAUCUGUGAAGGUGAUAAAGUAUGAAAAAUCACCUCUAGCAGUGAUCGACAUUGGGCCGCAUACAUCAGUAUGUACUAGCCCAAGUAAAUCACUGGCUCGUUCCCCUUUUCCAGUGAAGGGCAUUUUGAUCAUUUUACCAAGUAAACAAGUUUCGCAUGUAUCAUAUGAUUCAUAAUCAAAUGAAUCCAAGUAUCCAUGUUGGUAUAACUUGGAGAUGCGUGUUUCAUUUACAUGACCAAGCCUACAGUGCCAGAGGUAAGUUUUAUUUAGUUUAUCUAUUCUCAUUCUUUUUUCACUCACAUUGAGAAUUUGAUGAUCAAGAUCUAGAAUAUAUAGACCGUUAUUCCAACUUUCAGAACCAUAAAACACACCAUUUUUAGAAAAAGAACAACAUUUAUUCUCCUGGGUUAUUCGAAACCCAUUUAAAUCCAAACAGGAAAUAGAAAUGAUGUUUGUAGUAAGUGCUGGAACACAAUAACAAUUUAAUAAUUCUAAAAUCAAUCCACUGGGUAAAGUGAUAUAAUAAGUCCCUACAGCUAAAGCAGCAACUUUUGCUCCAUUGCCCACACGUAGGGUGACUUCUCCUUUUCCUAGCUUUCUACUGUCCCUUAGACCCUGCAUAGAUGUGCAAAUGUGAAAAUCACAUCCGGUAUCUAAUACCCAAGAGUCUGAUUUGGAAGUAGACACAUUAAUCUCAAUCAUAUAUGUACCUGAUGAUGAAGCUUUAGCAAGCUUCUUUUGCUUCAGGCUCUCCAAGUAUGACUUGCAGUUCCUUUUCCAAUGUCCAGUUUGAUUACAAUGGAAGCAGGUUGCUUUGGACUGGUCCGCCUUUGCCUUUUUGGGCUUUUGGGUGGGCUUGUUUUUGGAUUUUUUAAAUCCCUUUUCUUGCCUCUUCCUCUUCUUAGAGGAAGUAACGACAAGCACACCAGUAGAGCCUUUUCCCUUUUUGAUUUCUUUCUCAGCAGUUUUCAGCACAUUCAACAAUUGAGACAAAGUGUGCUGCAGAUUAUUCAUCUGAUAGUUCAUAACAAACUGUGAGAAAGAAUCUGGCAGAGAUUGGAGCACUAAAUCAACAUUCAGCUCCUGAUCCAUCUUAAAGCCUAAUUCGGCCAAUUUUUCAAUUAGCCCAAUUAUUUUUAAGACAUGCGGAUCAACAGGUGCUCCCUCUGCCAUCUUGCACCUGAACAAUUCUUUAGAGGUAUCAUAUCUAACCGUCCUUGAUUGUUGUUCAAACAACUCUCUCAGGUGUUGUACAAUAUCAUACGCCCCCAUGUUCAUGUGCUGCUGCUGAAGCUUAGGAGUCAUGGAAGCUAUCAUGAUACAUGAAGCUUCCCUAUUGUCAUCCUUAUGUUUCUUCUAAGCAUUUCUAACAGCAGCAGGUGCAGUAGGUUCAGGCUCUUGAGGCAUUGGACCAUCAAGUACAUACUCAAUUUUCUCAUGAGUGAGAACGAUAAGGACAUUACGAUGCCAAUCAAGAAAGUUCGUGUCGUUGAGUUUGCAAUCAGUAAGUAUAGUACGAAGGCUCAAAUUGUUACUCAUUCUACAACAAAAUGAAAGAUAGAAUUUGUUAGAAAAAUGUUUUGUUUAAUAAAAUCAUAAAAACUUCAAAAUUAUGAUUUUAUUUCCACCAAUUUUUUUUUCAAAUCAAUUACCCUCUAAAAUUGAAUCGGGAAUUUCUAAAAUUCCAUAGUGGCUAGGAUCCUAUCUUAAUUUAUUUCGACCUUGAGUGUGUCCCAACAAAUCGAAAAUAAUUAUGAAAGGUAGGUACUUUUACCAAUUACAACUUAUUGUAAUUCCUAGAUCAGUUGGGUGUCAACUCUUGACUUUAAAUCUCUAUGAAUCAACCCAACACUUGCCUCUAAAAUUAAUGAUUUUGAGUGAAUCCCAACAAAUCAUAAUUUUAGUUAAAUCAAACCCAUCAUUCUUGAGGACAUUUAUCAUAGCAAAAACACGUAGUAAGUAAGGCAGCCUUGGGUGAAUCCCAACAAACUAGCACUUAAUAACUACUCUAGUUUUAUACUAUAAUGAUGAAAGGCAUUUUAUUGAUUUAAUAUAUAGUUGAGGGAUUUGUCUCUUUUUUCCAAAAAUAUUUUAUAAUUAAAAUUUUUGAAAAAAUUGCUCAUUAGGUCUCAUCAAUAAACAUGCAUAUCACCAUUUCAAAAACGUAUAAACAUGAAUUUAAAUCGUGAAUGGUUGUGGAUAUUCCUAAACUAAUUUCCCCGGCCAUUAGGAAAAUUAGCAUAUGACUAAAAUCUUUAAUACCGAGACGAACCCCUUCGUUGUAGUAUGCCUCCUUUCUUCUUUUCAAAGUUACAAUUUCUAUAUAAAUUAUAUAAAUUCCUAUCAUCUAUUCCUAUCUAUUGUACAUUACAAAUAGUAUAGAAGAAACCCCGAGUUAUAUUCGGGGGGAAUUUAGAUGAGAAAAGAAAUUACAAUUAGAAAAUAAGAAAGGUAGGACAUGCAGGCCCUAUUUUAAAAAUAAUUACAACCAUUCAAACCUAGAAUGAUUGUAACCUUCCAAAAUACCACAAUCAUAUUACGUACUAUAUCCACAACCAUCCACCAUGCAUUUUCAUAAUUUAAACAACUUUAAAUAAAAGAAAAGCAUGUAAAAUAAGCAAUCUCAAUUCAUGGAUUAAUUGGAUUUAAUUCCUAAGGUCCCAAACAAAAUUUGGGUCCAUGCAUAUGCGAGAAAUUUUGGUAAAAUUAAUUUUUAUUAGGUCAUUGUUAUUCCUAACUAAAUUAGGAAAAUAAUUGGAAAGAUAAUUUCAAUUAAUCAAAUUAAUUGUGAAUCAAUUCCCAACCUAAUAAAUAUGAAUACUAGAUCCCAUAACACAUUUUAACAAUUAAAAAGGGAUCUAAUUCAAAAAAUUGUCAAAAGUUUUAAAACUUCAAAUUCUCAAAACAAUAGUUUCCUAAACCACUACAGCUCUUGUUUUCUAGCACUUCCGGCAACUACCACUGGACACCACCACUUCAGCCACCACCGCUGAGGUCUCCACUGACCAUCAAUGGUAGCAACUCCCAGCGGCAGCCACCAGGGUGAUCACUGGAAGCAACCACUCGGCUGCAACACCAAGUUGCAAGGUUUUCCCGUGCCUGAUUGCUGUUGCUCUUCGUUAUCGCGCCUGUUUGCUGGAUAGCGGAGCUACCACCGCAACAGCCACCACCACUGGAGUCUCCACUGACCACCAGUGGCAGCGGCUCCUGGUAGCAGCCAUCGGAGGUCAUGGGCAGCAACCGUGAGGAGGCUGCUGUGCCCUUGCCGAUGCCUGCAGCAAAUUUGCUGCGCUUUUGUCCCAGAGAGCUCAUAGCUCUUCUACCCAGCAACCACCACCAGGUCGUUCAAUCUCCCACUGCCACCAAAGAAAGCCACCAUGGCCUCACAUGGCAGCAGCAGCUGGCGGCAGCCCUUGCUACGUAUGGUUUUUUUUUUUUUUUUUUUCAAUGAUCAUCCUGCAACUUUUGCAGAUGAUCAACUCAAAUCCACAGGUUAAGCAAAUCCACAGAAAGAAAAAAAAACAAGCGUCUACGAUCCAACAACAGCUCCAUCCGAGCUUCCAUAAGAGAAGACGUACAUAGCUUCAAAAGCUUCAUAAGAAAACUCCCAUUUUUUUUCUUUUUUUUUUUUGAAAAACCAAAAAAAUAAUUCUCCCAUAAUUCCGCAUAUUCAAUUAAAUCCAAUUAGCAAUAUUAAUCCAUGAAUCCAAAAUUGCCUAAAAUCAUACGUAAAAUUCUUAGGGAUGGCUCUGAUACCACUGUUGAGUUUUAGGGAUACUUUGCAGCGGAAAAAUAAAAAUUUUUUCCCUAAAACCAUCCAGGAAUCACCCUAAAUUUUACGUAUGAUGUACUAAAAGUAGGGUUUUAGGAUUACCUUAAUCCAAGCGGCGUCUCCCUGCGGCAUUGUUUGAGGAUGGUCAGCCCUUGAGCAGUCCAAUCGUCCUACCUCUACUGAUAUCCACGCUAGAGCAACCCUGGAUCGUCUCACAAACUAUGUAUUGAAGAGAAAAAGGUGCUAGCCUUUUUACUCUUCUCAAACAUAUAUUUUUUCUCUCUCUCUCGUCUGUGACAAUCACAAAAAACUUGUUCUAGUAUCUGUAUCUCAGCCCCCAAUAUCAAUUGGAGAGAGAGAGAUAUAUGAUAAGAUAGAAUGAUGAGUCUUCUUGUCUGAUUCAAAAUCAAAACAAUAAGAUUUCUUAUCACACAAGACUCUAUCUAUCAUUAUCUGAUAGAUGAGAGAUAACCAUUUAUUCUUAUCUGCUCAAAUAGGCCUGGGAUUAAUUUUCUUUUAAAAUUAAACCCCGACAAUUUACAUAGUUCCAAUCCAGAAUUAAAUCUCUAUUGCGUGUGACCCAAUAGGUCCCGAAUGCAUUGGUAAUAAUUAUGGUUUAAUAAUUAGAUAAAAUAAACGACUUUAUUUUAUCAUAACUUAUAAUAAAUAAUUAAUCCAUAAUUAUAAAUCACGAGCGGUGUCUAGCAACACAUCGCGAUUGCCCAAUUAUUCGGAAUUAGUCAAGGGAAUUUGACCUAACCUUUCCGUGAAAAAUUACCGUGUAAUUAUUAUCCUUUCACCAAAGAUAUCCAAUUAAUCAGGAAUAAGGAAUAAGUGCCAAUUCCUUGAUGACUAAUUAAAUUUUCUAGUUCCCGAAAUGUACCCUUAAUUAGGUUAAAUUGAAGACAUUCUUCAAUUUACCUAAUAGUCGACUUUAGGGUUAAUUUCUCACUAGUGGCUAUCCGGAUAUCAACUCCUUCUAUCGGAGUGGUAAAUUCUAUCUCAAUCACCCAUUUUCUUUACAUGCUUCACACUAUAUCCAACUUCUACACUUUAAGGCACUCACGAAGAGUAACAAGUAAUUAGAGUCAAAAUGUAGCGAUUCACACUCAAGAUAUUAUGGUGAUCUCAAGUCGUAGGAUCACUUACACAAUUUUUCACUAGAGAUACACCAUUGGCGCUAGAUAGAUAUCCUAACGGGAUCUCUAAAUGGAUCAAUCCAAUGCAUUUGUACUUUCCAAAUCAUCUACACAUUAGCCUAGGUAUCAUCAUGCCAUAGUUGAUGAGAACAACCACUAAUUACAUUAAUUAGAGGCUAACUGUGUACUAGUUUUACCGUACUAAAGAUGUCCUAUUUCAUUAGUACUAUAACUAGGAAAUUUUAAGAAUAUUACUAUAAAAGCGAUUGAUAUCUCAUAGUCAUCAACUCUUGUGACUACCAUCACAUUAGUAAACAUUUUAAGGACUUUAUCAGUUAUAUCUAAUAUUUAACAGAUAAAUAAGAAGUUAUUAAAAUACAAAACAUAUAAUUUAGGAAUGUAUAAUAAAAUACAAAACAUAUAAUUUAGGAAUGUAUAAAAUAAAAACAAAUACAUUGUUUUAGGGCAUACAUUCCAACACUUUGUUGGUCUCAUGACACACUAUUCAAGUUAACUACAAAUCAAGAAAAUCUCUCACCGUUUAUUAAUACAAGGACAUUAGUAGGUGAAUAUGCAUUUGUUCGUGAAUUUCUCUUUCUCAUUGAAUGGUACUAAAGCCAUUUUUAUUCCCAAAAAAAAGCCAUAAAAAGUUUAUUGAUUACAAAUGAAUUUGUAAAAUGUGCUAUAAGUCGAUAGUGUAAGCUCUUAAAUUCUACAAUCGAUGGUUUGUGGUUCAAACUGCUGCCAGCGUUAGUUUAGGAGUGCAAAUUGCAAUUAACCAAAAAAAAAAUAAAUUGUACCACAAGACUCUUUGUACGCCAGUGUUUCUGUAUUUUAUGUGUGUUUGAUGUGUGCAUUUAUGUGCGAGACUUAUCAUUGUCAAAACUUAAACUUGGUCUUUAUCCCUGUAACUUAUGUGCGAGACUUAUCAUUGUCAUGCUUGUCUUUGUUUCGAUUGGUUUGACUGGGAAAACUCAUGCUCAAAAAUUUAUUGAUGCCAUUUAUAGAUACUUCAGCUGCUAAAAUAAGUAACCACGGGUCCACGGCUAAUUAGGUAGCAAUCAUUAUCAUACUCGUUUCAAUAAAAAAAAAAAAGAAAGUCUGGAUUUCUUAAUUUGUUUUGCGGUGGAGGAAUUUGGCAUGUAAAUAGAGUUUAAGAGAAGUGGGACGUACCAUGCAAGAAAAGUCGUAAAAUAGAUAGAUUUUAUGUUUUCACUAAGCUGUUAAUUAGUGAUGUAAUCCUUCUGUAAUUCAUCCAAUUGCAGCUACUCUUUAAAGAACUCAUACACAAUUGAAAUUCCAUGUGCAACUAGUAAAGAGUACUAUAAUCCCUUCCAGUCUAGAUAAGAAUUUUAAAAUAAGUACAUUGUAAAUAUUUAAUAUCACAAUUGAUGUAACAGAGAAAUUAGGUUUAUCUGUCAAGUAAAAAGAAUUUUCAGUUCUCGGUAAAUGGUUUUUCCUAUGUAGUGCCCUAAGAGCACAAAAUAAGUAUACAAAAAAAAAAAAAGUGAUUCUGCUAUUAUAGUGUCAGAAUGAUCACCCACCCCUUAAAUUACAAUACUUUCAUACAGAAAAUAUACCCUUUUGCCAAAAAAAAAAAAAAAAAAUUCAGGUCCAUUUUUUUACAAUGUGCCGUGAAGGCUCCAAUUUUUUAGAUGAAAGACAUAGUUCCCAACUCAAGAAAACUCAAUUCAAUGAAAAUCAUGUUCCCCCUGUUCAAGUUUGAAGAUUUUACUUGUGGAGAAAAGCAUCAACAAUUUUGAAAUUCUCUCCGGCAUUUAAUUUUUGUGUCUAAUUUAUACAGUUCCAUGAGCUUUACGUGCUUUUCUAGCCUAAGAAAAUGACUAAAUAUGUGACAACGGUCUAGCUAUGAGCUUAUCUUCUGUUAAUGACCAAAUUACUUAAUCUUACCGGUUAAAUGCUAAACUGAAAUUUGCAUUAGAAGUUGAACUACAAAAGUUGGAUUAAAGGUUAAAUUAUUUUUAGGUUCAAGCAAAUUACUUUUUAGAAAUUUCUUCAAGUAAAUAUCAUCAAGUUUGUUUAGUCAAGAAAAAAAAAGAGGACACUUUAGCUCAAAAAGAAAAAAGAAAUGCCAGAAAAAAUAACUUAGUGAUUUCCAGGCAUGUUCAUUUACCAAACUCGAUAGGAUUUUGUCUUCAAUCAUUGGCUUAACGACCUCAACCCAAUCUCAUUGGUUCAUACAAUUUUUUUAUUUUAGUCCGAAUCCAAAACUUUCGGCACUCGGACAUUACGUCUAAGAACUUUCAUCAUAUAUUUUUUUUUUUUGGGGAAACUGUCGUCAUUUUCAAGCUCAAUGAUAAGCGGCGCGCUUAAAUGCACAUAUCAAACGCACACCAAAUACACAAACACUGGCGUACGUACAAAGAGUCUUGUAGUACAAUUUAUUUUUUUGGUUAAUUGCAAUUUACACUCCUAAACUAACGCUAAUAGCAGAUUGAAGCAUAAACUAUCAAUUGCACUAUUUAAGAGAUUUCAUUAUCGACUUAUAGUACAUUUAACAAAUUCAUUUAUAAUAUAUAAACUUUUUAUGGCAUUUUUUUUUUUAAUAAAAAAGGCUUUAGUACCAUUCAAUGAGAAAGAGCAAAUGCAGAUUUAGGCUGAUAAUGCCCUUUGUAUUAAUAAAUGGUGAUAGAUUUUAUUGAUUUGUAGCUAACUGGAAUAGUAUGUCUUGAGGUCGAGUAGGUUUUAAUCUAAUGAUUGGGGUCGAAACUCAAAAAAAUAGAGGUCUUGGUUCAAAUCCCACUACAACAAAAAUGGCAUUUAGCGGCAUUUAAAAGUGUCAGUAUAGAUAAUCUAACCUGACAUUUUAUCUAUCCUCACACCUAGGGCGAGUGUUGUCCCUUCCAAUGUGGGGAUAGCCUCAAAUCUUUAGCAACAUUCAAAGGUGUCCGGAAAACCAUGCUGCUAUAGCAUUCCCUCUGCCAACAAAAACUUUUUUUUGUGAUAAUCGAAAGUGUCCGUAUAGCAUUAGAACAUCAGUAGCGGAUCAGUAGUAUAUCCAAUUUAUGAAGGCAUCUUUAGUUGUCUUAAUAUAUGACUUUAAGGACACGUAGCCAUGUGAAUUUACACUGCUUUGGACGACAUGCCCAUUUGUCAUUAGUAUUUUUCGAAGCUAAGCUAUGCUGACACUUUUAAUUGCCAGGAGUUUUUUCCCUGUUUUUUUUUUUAUAUGGAAGCAACCUGCAAUUAGUCCUCCCUGCUGUACAUUCCAUCAACCAAAAUCCUAAGGGACUUGUAAAAUUAUCUCAAAGAGCAGAAUGCAUAUAGCAAUUUAAAAGAAGAAGUCGAUACUCAAAUAUAAUUCAUUGAAUUAAAAGUCGAUAACAAGUACAAACAUAGCAAUUACUAAAAUCGCAAACAAGUGCUCAAAGCAAGUACUAAAAUCCCAAUAAAGUACCGAAAGAUUCUCAUUUACAAUAACUUGAAAGACUUUCUUGUGCACAAACAAAAAGACUCUCAUCCCUAACAAGUUGAAAGAAAUGCUAAAAGUCAGGUAACGUAAUUGUACAAUAUUAGCAACGAUCCGCGAGAGGUAUAGUAUAUAUAUAGUACAUUGUUUGGGCUCCUAUAAAGCAGGAUAUUAAAACCGAGCAACCCAUACCGUCAGCAA
rnacentral:lncRNA from 1 species